rnacentral:rRNA from 1 species
GCGUGAGUGAAGAAGGUCUUCGGAUUGUAAAGCUCUUUCGACGGGGACGAUGAUGACGGUACCCGUAGAAGAAGCCCCGGCUAACUUCGUGCCAGCAGCCGCGGUAAUACGAAGGGGGCUAGCGUUGCUCGGAAUGACUGGGCGUAAAGGGCGCGUAGGCGGUUUGUACAGUCAGAUGUGAAAUUCCUGGGCUCAACCUGGGGGCUGCAUUUGAUACGUAUGGACUGGAGUGAGGAAGAGGGUCGUGGAAUUCCCAGUGUAGAGGUGAAAUUCGU